GUAUAAGUGCCAGAUGAAAUGGGUUGGUUUUAAGCAUCAAAUAUGGAUUUUUCCCUUAUAUU
rnacentral:tRNA from 1 species